CAGAGGCCCCAAGCGUUACUGAGAAUCACUGGGUUUAAAGGGUGCGUAGGUGGUCCGUUAAGUUCGUUGUGAAAGCCCUGGGCUCAACCCAGGAACUGCUUCGAAUACUGGCGGACUUGAGGCUAGUAGGGGUUACUGGAACUGACGGUGGAGCGGUGAAAUGCGUAGAUAUCGUCAGGAACGCCAAUGGUGAAGACAGGUAACUGGGCUAGUUCUGACACUGAGGCACGAAAGCGUGGGGAGCGAACGGGAUUAGAUACCCCGGUAGUCCACGCCCUAAACGAUGCAGACUAGACUGCAGCGGGUUACACCCCGUUGCGGUCGGAGCGAAAUUGUUAAGUCUGCCACCUGGGAAGUACGGUCGCAAGGCUA
rnacentral:rRNA from 1 species